rnacentral:rRNA from 1 species
CGGACGGGUGAGUAACGCGUGGAAAACCUGCCGUAUACUGGGGGAUAACACUUAGAAAUAGGUGCUAAUACCGCAUAAGCGCACAGCUUCGCAUGAAGCGGUGUGAAAAACUCUGGUGGUAUACGAUGGUUCCGCGUCUGAUUAGCUAGUUGGUGGGGUAAUGGCCUACCAAGGCAACGAUCAGUAGCCGGCCUGAGAGGCUGAACGGCCACAUUGGGACUGAGACACGGCCCAAACUCCUACGGAAGGCAGCAG